CACUUUCGACAGAAGUAAUGCUCGCACCCGAAACUUACUGGGUCUUGGUAAAUACUCAGGCAAAUUGAACACAGGAGCUCGUCCUUCAGACAACAAGCCAUUUGCGGGAAUAAAGACCAAAUAGAACCAAAUUAUAACCACUGCAACGUCCACGGAAUCCAAUCGGCUGCUUCACUCCGAAACCUGCCUCAAUCCAGGAAGAAAAAGAGCAGGGCGAUGGAGCAAACCAACUAAACACCUGCAGCCUCUGCGGGGAGGGGAACGAAAAAUGUCUCAACUAGUAUCGAAGUCGAAACUUUCUUUUGUCACAAAGACAACGAAUCUAUUUAAUGUAUUUGUAUAAAUGUCUUGUGCGUUUUAAACUAGACAAACUAAUAUAUGGGUGAGGAAAUUUCCGCUUUUGAAUAAAUCGACGAACUGAAGGUACCCUAAUGAAUGAUGGAACAGUCUGGACCUCCACAUUUCCCCAUUGUUUGUUCGGCUUUACGCUGUAUGCCUUAGAUGCAGGUCACUGUUGAUGUCGACGUUGAAUUGCCGAGGAAAGUCAUGCAUUUGUAUUUGUAAUUAUUCGCAUAUGUGCAUUUUAAUCCACAUUAAUUUUCAGGUUACUAGGCUAUACGAAGCAGCUAGAUGAACACCAGUGCCGAUUAAAAAAUACCAUUGAAGCUCUGUAAAAAUGCCACAAUAAGAUAAAACCGAAAUGUCAUCAUGUCACAAAUCGAUUAUAUAUGUUCGAUAAAAAACAAAACACGCACACACAUACACAAGUCCCGGAUUGCUUGUGCGGUUAUUUUAUCUGUUGCUGAAAUCACGUUUCUAACCUUUCCUGCGGGGAGGGGGACGGUUCCCAGCGCCUGCCCAUUUUGCGAUGUACCCCAUUCAUUUCAUAAUAAAAUAACAUCUGUCUUA